rnacentral:rRNA from 1 species
UACGUAGGAUGCAAGCGUUGUCCGGAUUUAUUGGGUUUAAAGGGUGCGUAGGCGGCCUAUUAAGUUAGUGGUGAAAACGUUCGGCUUAACCGGAUACCCGCCAUUGAUACUGAUAGACUUGAGUGCAACAGAGGGUGUUGGAAUGUGUGGUGUAGCGGUGAAAUGCUUAGAUAUCACGCAGAACACCAAUUGCGAAGGCAGAUGCCUAUGUCGUAACUGACGAUGAGGCACGAAAGAGUGGGGAGCAAACAGG